GCCCCCAUAGUUUAGCGGAUAGAAUGGAGGCCUCCGGAGCCUCUGACCGGAGUUCGAAACCUAAGGGGGGUUCCA
rnacentral:tRNA from 2 species